GUUGUAGUGCAAUGGAUAGCGCGUUGAACUUCUAAUACAAAGGUUGUGGUUUCGAAUUCCCCCUGAGAUG